rnacentral:rRNA from 1 species
CUAAGUUUGAUGGCGACCGGCGCACGGGUGAGUAACACGUAUCCAACCUGCCGAUGACUCGGGGAUAGCCUUUCGAAAGAAAGAUUAAUACCCGAUGGCAUAGUUCUUCCGCAUGGUGGAACUAUUAAAGAAUUUCGGUCAUCGAUGGGGAUGCGUUCCAUUUGGUUGUUGGCGGGGUAACGGCCCACCAAGCCUUCGAUGGAUAGGGGUUCUGAGAGGAAGGUCCCCCACAUUGGAACUGAGACACGGUCCAAACUCCUACGGGAGGCAGCAUG